AUUUGUAAAUCUGUGAAAUCGUUCCCUGAAAGAACCAUGCAGGCCUGUCUUGUUGCACGAUGCAAAUGUUCUUCAAAACUAGACAUUUUCAGCUUGUAAUGUUUUCAGACGUUGC